UGGGGAAUCUUGGACAAUGGGGCAACCCUGAUCCAGCCAUGCCGCGUGAGUGAUGAAGGCCUUAGGGUCGUAAAGCUCUUUCGCCUGUGAAGAUAAUGACGGUAGCAGGUAAAGAAACCCCGGCUAACUCCGUGCCAGCAGCCGCGGUAAUACGGAGGGGACUAGCGUUGUUCGGAAUUACUGGGCGUAAAGAGUUCGUAGGCGGACUAGCAAGUUAGAGGUGAAAUCCCAGGGCUCAACCUUGGAACUGCCUUUAAAACUGCUAGUCUAGAGACCGGAAGAGGUUAGGGGAAUACCUAGUGUAGAGGUGAAAUUCGUAGAUAUUAGGUGGAACACCAGUGGCGAAGGCGCCUAACUGGUCCGGUACUGACGCUGAGGAACGAAAGCGUGGGGAGCAAACAGGAUUAGAUACCCUGGUAGUCCACGCCGUAAACGAUGAGUGCUAGAUGUUGGGAUUUUCGGAUUUCAGUGUCGCAGCUAACGCAUUAAGCACUCCGCCUGGGGAGUAC
rnacentral:rRNA from 1 species